AUUAUACCGUGAAACUGCGAAUGGCUCAUUAAAUCAGUUAUCGUUUAUUUGAUAGUACCUUACUACUUGGAUAACCGUGGUAAUUCUAGAGCUAAUACAUGCUAAAAACCCCGACUUCGGGAGGGGUGUAUUUAUUAGAUAAAAAACCAAUGCCCUUCGGGGCUCUUUGGUGAUUCAUGAUAACUUAACGGAUCGCAUGGCCUUGCGCCGGCGACGGUUCAUUCAAAUUUCUGCCCUAUCAACUUUCGAUGGUAAGGUAUUGGCUUACCAUGGUUUCAACGGGUAACGGGGAAUUAGGGUUCGAUUCCGGAGAGGGAGCCUGAGAAACGGCUACCACAUCCAAGGAAGGCAGCAGGCGCGCAAAUUACCCAAUCCCGACACGGGGAGGUAGUGACAAUAAAUACUGAUACAGGGCUCUUUUGAGUCUUGUAAUCGGAAUGAGUACAAUUUAAACCCCUUAACGAGGAACAAUUGGAGGGCAAGUCUGGUGCCAGCAGCCGCGGUAAUUCCAGCUCCAAUAGCGUAUAUUAAAGUUGUUGCAGUUAAAAAGCUCGUAGUUGAACCUUGGGCCUGGCUGGCCGGUCCGCCUCACCGCGUGUACUGGUCCGGCCGGGCCUUUCCUUCUGGAGAUCCCCAUGCCCUUCACUGGGUGUGCGGGGGAACCAGGACUUUUACUUUGAAAAAAUUAGAGUGUUCAAAGCAGGCCUUUGCUCGAAUACGUUAGCAUGGAAUAAUAGAAUAGGACGUGCGGUCCUAUUUUGUUGGUUUCUAGGACCGCCGUAAUGAUUAAUAGGGACAGUCGGGGGCAUCAGUAUUCAAUUGUCAGAGGUGAAAUUCUUGGAUUUAUUGAAGACUAACUACUGCGAAAGCAUUUGCCAAGGAUGUUUUCAUUAAUCAGUGAACGAAAGUUAGGGGAUCGAAGACGAUCAGAUACCGUCGUAGUCUUAACCGUAAACUAUGCCGACUAGGGAUCGGGGGAUGAUUCUAUCUUGUCUCCCUCGGCACCUUACGAGAAAUCAAA
rnacentral:rRNA from 2 species